AGCAAUGACAGAACUCACCUCGGCCUUGUCAGUCAAAGGUUGUCAUCAUGACCACAGAGGCCACGUCAGAGUCAUUUCCAAGUAACUCCUAUGGUUCUAAAAGGUCCUCCCUUGUGACACUUGGAAAAGGAGUCCAAAAGGCAUCCAGCCUGCAAUGACUCCGAUGACCCUGGUGUUUAUUUGCAAGCUAGUCCACGGCCAGGGCGCUCACCUGUUGGCUUCCUUUCAACACGAUGUCCUGAAUGCCCACCACAGGCCAAGUAUUGCUGUAAGGCCCUGGAGAUCCUACGGUGUCCCAGAUGUAUAGUCGUGACUUCUAGAAACACCCGCUCCACUGGAGGAUAAGGACUGGCUGACAGAAAGCCAGUACACUCUAGGAAACUAUGCAAUGGUGGCCAAGCACAGGUGGGUUUUUAAGCAAAUACCCACGUGGCUGUGCUUUAGCUGCACAGCAACUCUCUCUCUGAUCCUUCACCCAUCGGGGGUCAGCAAAUUCUUGGGAGAAUGAAAAGCCAGUUCACCAUGGGCUAAAACCAGUCCAAGCUCUUCUUAUUUGUAGGACACAUUCCAAAGCCAAUCAUCAAGUAUGUUUGGACUUUCUGCUUUGGAGGGUGAUCUGCUCAUCAGUUCUCUGCACAGACAGACGGCAUGAGAUUGCCCAUACUUCAGAUGUUUUACAAAAUAUCAUCCCAGUUUUUGAAAAGGAAGUGAAAACCUACUUGGGCAAAGAAAAGAGGGUAAGUCAAGUGUUUCUAAUUGACCAGCGUUGAGAAACGGGCUCAGGAGAGAGAUAUGAUUAAAUUCAGACUCGUCUUGACCUGAAAUAUAUUUGCUUCCCUAUGAUUUACCAAAAAAGUGAAAGAAAACAAGAGGAGGAAGGAAGGAAGGAAGAAAAGAACUCAAAACCACAAUUGGAUUUUCAAAAUCAACCCACACAGAUACUCCUGCUUGAAGAUGUCCUUUACAGUGUUACUUAGGAUACAAGAAACUGGAAAUAUCUUAAAAGUCCAUUAACAGGAAAAUGUUCUUGGAUGAAUCCUCUGAGUCUUUCUUAACACAGCAUUCCCUCUAGCCACUACCAAUCAACUGGAACUGGGAAGCUGGUCUGACAAACGGACCAGGUAAGACUAUUUGAGCAAGCAGCAGAAGCUGACUCUAAGUAACCUAAGCCCAACAAGACUCCAUUGAAAGAAUAUGGGAGAACACAAGAGGAUUGAAGGGAAUGUUCAGGAACCAGGAAUUUCCGAUGGCCUUAAGCACAGAAAGGACCGUCGGAUUUCUCUAUCACAGCAGUGUCUGGAAUUAGCCCUACAGGAACAGAGAUGACACAUAAUGCUAUAUGCUCCCAUGGGGGCCUGGAAUCUGAUUGCAACAUCUAGAAAUAUCUGCAUGAUCAAUUGGAGUGACUGGAUUC